CAGUAGCCGCGGUAAUACGAAGGGGGCUAGCGUUGUUCGGAUUUACUGGGCGUAAAGGGCGCGUAGGCGGACUGAUAAGUCAGGGGUGAAAUCCCAAGGCUCAACCUUGGAACUGCCUUUGAUACUGUUUGUCUUGAGUUCGAGAGAGGUAAGUGAAACUGCGAGUGUAGAGGUGAAAUUCGUAGAUAUUCGCAAGAACACCAGUGGCGAAGGCGGCUUACUGGCUCGAUACUGACGCUGAGGCGCGAAAGCGUGGGGAGCAAACAGGAUUAGAUACCCGCGUAGUCCCUGUCUCUUAUAC
rnacentral:rRNA from 1 species